UUGGACCUGAUAUCAGGCAAGAUUACCGCUAACUAA
rnacentral:rRNA from 1 species